GAACGCUGGCGGCAUGCCUUACACAUGCAAGUCGAACGGCAGCAUAAGAGAGCUUGCUCUCUGGAUGGCGAGUGGCGAACGGGUGAGUAAAGCAUCGGAACGUACCGUGUAGUGGGGGAUAACGUAGCGAAAGUUACGCUAAUACCGCAUACGCACUGAGGUGGAAAGCAGGGGAUCGCAAGACCUUGCGCUAUACGAGCGGCCGAUGUCAGAUUAGCUAGUUGGUAGGGUAAAGGCCUACCAAGGCGACGAUCUGUAGCGGGUCUGAGAGGAUGAUCCGCCACACUGGGACUGAGACACGGCCCAGACUCCUACGGGAGGCAGCAGUGGGGAAUUUUGGACAAUGGGGGCAACCCUGAUCCAGCCAUGCCGCGUGAGUGAAGAAGGCCUUCGGGUUGUAAAGCUCUUUCGGCCGGGAAGAAAUCGACACAGGCUAAUACUCUGUGUGGAUGACGGUACCGGCAUAAGAAGCACCGGCUAACUACGUG
rnacentral:rRNA from 1 species